GUCCAUGCAGUAAACGAUGAGUGUUCAAUAUUGGAUAUAAAUUUCAGUAUUUUAGCUAACGCGUUAAACACUCCGCCUGGGGAGUACGAUCGCAAGGUUGAAACUUAAAGGAAUUGACGGGAGCUUAUACAAACGGUGGAGCAUGUGGUUUAAUGCGAUAACACGCGCAAAACCUUACCAGUUCUUGAUAUAUAAAAAUGUUUAAAUUUAUAUUUAAAAUGUGUAUUUAUACAGGUGUUGCAUGGCUGCCGU
rnacentral:rRNA from 1 species